GAGCGGCGAACGGGUGAGUAACACGUGAGUAACCUGCCCCUGACUCUGGGAUAAGCCUGGGAAACUGGGUCUAAUACCGGAUAUGACAUNUNCCNGCAUGGGNAGGGNUGUGGAAAGUUUUUUCGGUUGGGGAUGGGCUCGCGGCCUAUCAGCUUGUUGGUGGGGUAGUGGCCUACCAAGGCGACGACGGGUAGCCGGCCUGAGAGGGCGACCGGCCACACUGGGACUGAGACACGGCCCAGACUCCUACGGGAGGCAGCAGUGGGGAAUAUUGCGCAAUGGGCGGAAGCCUGACGCAGCGACGCCGCGUGGGGGAUGACGGCCUUCGGGUUGUAAACCUCUUUCAGCAGGGACGAAGUUGACGUGUACCUGUAGAAGAAGCGCCGGCUAACUACGUGCCAGCAGCCGCGGUAAUACGUAGGGCGCAAGCGUUGUCCGGAAUUAUUGGGCGUAAAGAGCUCGUAGGUGGCUUGUUGCGUCUGCCGUGAAAGCCCGUGGCUUAACUGCGGGUCUGCGGUGGAUACGGGCAGGCUAGAGGCUGGUAGGGGCAAGCGGAAUUCCU
rnacentral:rRNA from 1 species